AGGGAAUCUUCCACAAUGGACGCAAGUCUGAUGGAGCAACGCCGCGUGAGUGAAGAAGGUUUUCGGACCGUAAAGCUCUGUUGUUGGUGAAGAAGGAUAGAGGUAGUAACUGGCCUUUAUUUGACGGUAAUCAACCAGAAAGUCACGGCUAACUACGUGCCAGCAGCCGCGGUAAUACGUAGGUGGCAAGCGUUGUCCGGAUUUAUUGGGCGUAAAGCGAGCGCAGGCGGAAGAAUAAGUCUGAUGUGAAAGCCCCCGGCUUAACCGAGGAAUUGCAUCGGAAACUGUUUUUCUUGAGUGCAGAAGAGGAGAGUAGAACUCCAUGUGUAGCGGUGGAAUGCGUAGAUAUAUGGAAGAAUACCAGUGGCGAAGGCGGCUCUCUGGUCUGCAACUGACGCUGAGGCUCGAAAAGCAUGGGUAGCGAACAGGAUUAGAUACCCUGGUAGUCCAUGCCGUAAAACGAUGAGUGCUAAGUGUUGGGAGGCUUCCGCCUCUCAGUGCUGCAGCUAACGCAUUAAGCACUCCGCCUGGGGGAGUACGACCGCAAGG
rnacentral:rRNA from 1 species